UGCUUCUUCUUUUUCUACAAUCCUAUGUUUGGAAGGCAGUGCCAACACGAGUAAGGAGACCAGGGUGAACGCAGAGAACUGAGGAUGUGCAGCCCCGAUCCUGGCCAGGAUGCCUGUGAGAGUCUGGUCUCCAUUCUGUGAGAUACAAAGAAGACUGAAUGUCAUGAUUUAGGACUCACAAAUGCAAUUUCAAAUUGACUGCCUGCUGGUUUAUUUCAUGCACCUGCUCUUGGAGGAAGGGGAGACAGGAUUUUAAGAGGCCAUUUUGAGGACAGAGCUGACAUUUGACCUAAGAGAUCCCACACAAACCUGGAAGACAAAAGCACUUAUUCAUAUUAGGUAAUUUAAA